GGGCCCGCACAAGCGGUGGAGCAUGUGGUUUAAUUCGAUGAUACGCGAGGAACCUUACCAGGGCUUAAAUGUAGUCUGACAGGGGUGGAAACACCCCCUCCUUCGGGCAGAUUACAAGGUGCUGCAUGGUUGUCGUCAGCUCGUGCCGUGAGGUGUCAGGUUAAGUCCUAUAACGAGCGCAACCCCUGCCGUUAGUUGCCAGCAUGUAAUGAUGGGAACUCUAACGGGACUGCCGGUGCAAACCGCGAGGAAGGUGGGGAUGACGUCAAAUCAUCACGGCCCUUACGUCCUGGGCUACACACGUGCUACAAUGGCCGGUACAGAGGGCAGCCACACCGCAAGGUGGAGCGAAUCCUUAAAACCGAUCUCAGUUCGGAUCGCAGUCUGCAACUCGACUGCGUGAAGCUGGAAUC
rnacentral:rRNA from 1 species